rnacentral:lncRNA from 1 species
UGCGGAAAUUGCUACAACUUUUUGCCCAAAUGUGGUAGGAAUUUCCGCACGCAAUACAAAAGUAUACAAAAUUAGCAAAUUUGCAAGGCUAUAUUUUCUGCAUUUUACAACAUUUCGCAACCAAACUUUGCAAUUUUACUAAUUUUAGUAUGCUCUUUCUAGCUGUGGUGAUUUAUUUGCAUCUCCUUGCCUAGUUCUAAAAUUAGUCUAUAAUGGGAAUUGUCUGUUGAUGCCCUGCCGAAAAUCGUGGGUUUUCUCCAGGUACUCCGGUUUUCACCCACAGGGAAUGUUAACAGGGUACCGUAGCUGUGCUCCGUGAUCAGACAUGAGUCAUAAGGUGGCUGCCAGGGGCGCCCUCAGGAAGCCUUCGACUGGAUCAGGUUGAGCUACGUCCGUAGCAAUUCAGCUUAGCUCUCAGCUGCAAGUAAGGAUGAUUAGCACACCACCAAUUACUCACUUAGUUAUUAGUGAUGGAUAGCAGGGCCGUACGCACAUUUUUUCACCCGGGGGACAGCAAUACUUAGGCACUGAAAUAAGUACCCAAAUGUUAAUGCAAUGUUAAUNNNNNNNNNNNNNNNNNNNNGGGGGGGGGGAGUUAGCCAACUCACUUUUACUUCUGUGAUGACUAUACCCCCGUAUUCCCCCGCCCCUGGCAUUUACCGGGGCUUUAUAGCCGGCAAAUGACGAAACGGCAAUUUGGAAUUGGCAGCUUACAAAAUGUUUUACUGAUAAGCUGCCUAACCACUUGAAUAUUAGUGACAACUUUAAGAAGAUACUUAAAGGUGCCCUACAGUCCGUAUGUAAACAAAGCCUUUGUUUACAUAUUUGUGUCCAAAAUAUUGAGCUUUAUUCGACAACUAUUUAUAUUUUCAAGCUUCUAGAGUAUAAUAAAUGAUCAAGAAACAACAAUCGGGCUUUUCAAGAACCAAAAACAUAGUUAAACUGUUUGUAUCAUAAAAAGUGGGCUCCUUUGUGCACAUGCGCAGAUCGGACUGUAGAGCACCUUUAAGUUUUGUGUCACGAUCUAUCUAUGUAUAACUGAUAUCCAAUUACACCCCCCCCCCCCCCCAAUUACGGUCGUGUAAAAUGUGUCAUUCUUUUUUUAUCAGACUUGUGGAAUUGUCCUUGAAACCACAGGCUUCUACAGCGCGGGAAAUCGCGUAUUCUGUCCCGAGCAUUCGCCUAGAACGUAGAUAAUAUUUGGUGGACUGGAAACAACAGACCACUCGACCAAUAGGAGUGGAAAUUUACACUAAGAAUUAUUUAAGUAGUUAUCUAUUGUUUGACAUGAUCUUAGAAGCUUGUGAAUUAGAGAAUAAGUUUUGUUUCGGUGCAUAGGUUUUUAUACCAUUAUCAAAAUACAUUUUGCAAGUAUUUUUCAACAAGUAAAUAGGUUAUUUUCUAUCAAUGAUAUUCGUUCUUCGUUGUUUAUAUAUGUCUAAACGUGAUGUAUAAAUAAUAGAUUCUUUGCUGUGUUGGUGUAAUGUACUCAGGUGAAUAAGAUGCUUGUAUGAUGUUACUCUGAGUGUAUAUCCAUACCGGGCAGGCUUGACAAAUAUGUUUGGCCACGGUGGGAAUCGAACCUACGACCUUUGAAGCGA